rnacentral:rRNA from 1 species
CCUACGGGGGACAGCAGUGGGGAAUAUUGGGCAAUGGGCGCAAGCCUGACCCAGCAACGCCGCGUGAAGGAAGAAGGCUUUCGGGUUGUAAACUUCUUUUCUCAGGGACGAAGCAAGUGACGGUACCUGAGGAAUAAGCCACGGCUAACUACGUGCCAGCAGCCGCGGUAAUACGUAGGUGGCAAGCGUUAUCCGGAUUUACUGGGUGUAAAGGGCGUGUAGGCGGGAAAGCAAGUCAGAUGUGAAAACCAUGGGCUCAACCUGUGGCCUGCAUUUGAAACUGUUUUUCUUGAGUACUGGAGAGGCAGACGGAAUUCCUAGUGUAGCGGUGAAAUGCGUAGAGAUUAGGAGGAACACCAGUGGCGAAGGCAGUCUGCUGGACAGCAACUGACGCUGAGGCGCGAAAGCGUGGGGAGCAAACAGGAUUAGAUACCCCUGUAGUC